CUGGAACCCAGGUGUUGGUCUGGGUGACUGUCUCCACAGAGUCCGGUCUUAUCAGGGAAUACAGCUGCAGACGUCUAUGGAGGAUCCUCGUCAAUCCUGAGGCAGCUUUUGCCUUUUAUUUCUUAAUCUGUUUGCAUUUGAUCUCAUAUUUGGUGCAAAGAGCCUCGGGGAGAAAAUUCCAGGCCCUGAUACAGUCGUCUGAGAAUUCGCUUGCCUGGAAAGAGAAGCAUCACCCCAGGAUGUGCCAGGGCCUGCACCCUUCCAGGAGCAAGACAGGCGUGGGUAUGAGGCCCUUCCACAGCCUGGCAGCCUGGGCUGGGUGCUGGUGUCACCAUCCAUGCCCUCUUUUUAACCUCCGAAAAGCAAUUCCAUGCAAAGACUUUGGACUGGAUGUGAGGGCACAGAAGUGGUUCAUCUUUCUCGUAGAUCUGCCUCGAUCACAAAGGACCACGUGCACAGACAUCAGCCCAGAAGCGAGGCCCGGGCCACCAGGGUCUUCUGUGCCGACUGGCCUUGCUCCCAGCCUCCAGGCUCUCCCUAGCCCACAGUGCCCACACCUGAUAGACCUGUUUCCAUAACAAAGCAGGGUUGUGUCUCCAUAAUACCAGACAGUGCCAAUUGUCAGGCAAGCCACCGGCGAGAGAUGGAAGGAAGAGGGUGGGGGAGGAGAGGAGGAAAUCAGAGGAGCCACUUGCUGGGUGAGGUGACGAGUCAGCCUCCUGGCCAUGGCUGGCUCUCACCCAGGGAGGCGAGGCCUGAGCAGAGAGAGGGAAGACGCUAAAUGUUCAUAGAACACCUUCAACACGCUAAGGCCACGUGCUGGUGGAUGGCGGGGAGUAGGGGAGUGACUUGUGCAUGGGUGAGCUGGGACAGCCCUUGGACAUGACACCUGUUCACACCAGCCUAGACACAGACUCCCAGGGCUCCUGUCUCAGGCCAGGUCUGGUCAACCAUGACCCUGGCUGACCGGACCAGCUGCGCUUCACCUCUAGACAUGUCACCUGCACAUCGGACACUCAGAGGCCAACAAAACCCCAGCUUCUCCGAGGAAGGUCUGACUGUGGAUCCCCUCCUCGUUCUUGUCCAACACCUUCAUCAAAAGGCUGGUACACCUGUUCCUUUAGAUGCUUCCUGGGCUGUCGGCAUUGCAAAGAGCACAGAAUCAUCUCUCCUGGAUGAGUGUGAGUCCACACUGCAGAUCAGGAGGCUGUGGGAAGGCCCUGUCCACAAUCUAGGACUCACAGGACUUGAAACAUUCAGUUAGAAAUGAACUUAAAAGAAGCUGCUUGGUUGUUUUUUUUUUCCCUUUUCUUAAAAUUUUUAUGGGAGUAUCAUUGAUUUACCAAGUUGUAUUAGUUUCAGGUGUGCAGCAAUCAGUUAUUUUAUAAUUGUUUCCCAUUUUUGUACUCUUUUUCAGGUCAGUGUUUGUUGGGUGCUUUUGACUCACUUCAUAGAUGUGACUGUAGUUUUUGUUUUUUUUCUCCUGUGGACCAGAGUCAUUAUCAUAGGUGUCCAUCAUCUUUUUUUAAAUUUACUGAGGAUUAUUUAUGUAUAGUAACAUGCACACGGCUUUAGCAUUUAGCUCAAUGACUUUACCUAUUUGUGGACAACCUACUUGAGUUCCAGAUCAGGACACAGAGCAUUCUCUGGCCCCCUCGUGCCAACCCCUCGCUGGACAAUAACCCUCUGACAGCAACCCCUCUUCCCUGCUCUCUCUCCUGGGUUUUGGGUGCCUGUCCUUGAACUUCAAGUGAGCAGAGGCUCCUUUUGCUCAGCCUUGUUUCCAUGGGAUCUGCCCACAUGGGUGUGCAGGGCUGUGAUGGUUUCUUUUUGUGCUGCGUAUGUGUACAUUGUUUUUUACCUGAUGCUUCGGCUCCCUUCCAAGUUUAGUGUAAGCCAAGAAUAACCACACCACUGCCUCUGGAUGUGAGACAAGUGACCUCCCAGACUGGCUCGUUUUAGAAGGAACUUCAGCUGAAACUGAAACAGUCAUGGGCUGCCUCCAAACUGGUUACACGACCUAAGGGUAAUUGCAGGACAGCAGAUCAGCUUGGGGGUCAAGCUUUUAAAGACAUGCCUAAAAGAACUGCUAUGAUGUGCAUAAAAUUUGGAGGCUGCUUUUCAUGGAAAAAGCACAACCCAUUACUUGUACAUUCUUUCCAUCCCCUUUUUCUUCUAAAUGAGAGGAAAGUAGAAUUAAGGUGCCGUCAGAAAAGAUGCCCCCCCCACCCACUCCGAGGCAGGGCCAUGGAGGGUCCUUUCAAUCCAGCAUUAGUGAAUAUAAACAGUACAAGGGAUCUUGUUGGAAAUGUUCACUCCCAGCCCAUCCUGAGGAAAAGGAUUCAGGAGGCCUGGAAAUCUACAUCAUUCAGACAUUUGUGUUAAAGUUUGAGAUCUAUUCUGGAGGAAGGGACAGUGCAGCACGUCUUUUUGGUGGAUCCUGGAG